rnacentral:rRNA from 1 species
UGAGGAAUAUUGGGCAAUGCCCGCAAGGGUGACCCAGCAACGCCGCGUGGAGGAUGAAUGUCGUAAGAUUGUAAACUCCUGUUAGAGGGGAAGAAUAGUACCGGUUGGACCGGUAUAUGACUGUACCCUCAGAGAAAGCCCCGGCUAACUACGUGCCAGCAGCCGCGGUAAUACGUCGGGGGCAAGCGUUGUCCGGAUUUACUGGGUGUAAAGGGCGCGCAGGCGGGAUAAAAAGUCAGUGGUGAAAUCCUACAGCUUAACUGUAGAACUGCCUUUGAUACUUUUAAUCUUGAGUUCGGGAGAGAGAGACGGAAUUCCAGGUGUAGUGGUGAAAUACGUAGAUAUCUGGAAGAACACCAGUUGCGAAGGCGGUCUCUUGGUCCGACACUGACGCUGAGGCGCGAAAGCGUGGGGAGCAAACA